GGACCCGCACAAGCGGUGGAGCAUGUGGUUUAAUUCGACAAUAAACGGAGAACCUUACCAAGGCUUGACAUUUGCAGAAUCCUUUGGAAACAGAGGAGUGCUCGCAAGAGAGCUGUAAAACAGGUGCUGCAUGGUUGUCGUCAGCUCGUGCUGUGAAGUGUAUGGUUAAGUCCAAUAACGAGCGCAACCCCUAUUGUAAGUUACUAUGUCUUACGAAACUGACCACUUCAAGUGGUAGGAAGGUGGGGAUGACGUCAAAUCAGCACGGCCCUUACGCCUUGGGCCACACACGUGCUACAAUGGGUAAGAACAAAGGGUAGCUAAGUCGCAAGAUGGAGCUAAUCCCAGCAAAAUUACCCUCAGUUCAGAUUGAGGUCUGCAACUCGACCUCAUGAAGUCGGAAUCGCUAGUAAUCGUGGGUCAGCACACCACGGUGAAUACGUUCUCGGGUCUU
rnacentral:rRNA from 1 species